CAACCGGGGUAUUGCCUUAGUACGGCGAGUGAAGCGGCAAAAGCUCAAAUUUGAAAUCUGGUACCUUCGGUGCCCGAGUUGUAAUUUGGAGAGGGCAACUUUGGGGCCGUUCCUUGUCUAUGUUCCUUGGAACAGGACGUCAUAGAGGGUGAGAAUCCCGUGUGGCGAGGAGUGCGGUUCUUUGUAAAGUGCCUUCGAAGAGUCGAGUUGUUUGGGAAUGCAGCUCUAAGUGGGUGGUAAAUUCCAUCUAAAGCUAAAUAUUGGCGAGAGACCGAUAGCGAACAAGUACAGUGAUGGAAAGAUGAAAAGAACUUUGAAAAGAGAGUGAAAAAGUACGUGAAAUUGUUGAAAGGGAAGGGCAUUUGAUCAGACAUGGUGUUUUGUGCCCUCUGCUCCUUGUGGGUAGGGGAAUCUCGCAUUUCACUGGGCCAGCAUCAGUUUUGGUGGCAGGAUAAAUCCAUAGGAAUGUAGCUUGCCUCGGUAAGUAUUAUAGCCUGUGGGAAUACUGCCAGCUGGGACUGAGGACUGCGACGUAAGUCAAGGAUGCUGGCAUAAUGGUUAUAUG
rnacentral:rRNA from 1 species